UACCACCCUUUAAUGUUUGAUGUUCUAACGUUGGCCCGUAAUCCGGGUUGCGGACAGUGUCUGGUGGGUAGUUUGACUGGGGCGGUCUCCUCCUAAAGAGUAACGGAGGAGCACGAAGGUUGGCUAAUCCUGGUCGGACAUCAGGAGGUUAGUGCAAUGGCAUAAGCCAGCUUGACUGCGAGCGUGACGGCGCGAGCAGGUGCGAAAGCAGGUCAUAGUGAUCCGGUGGUUCUGAAUGGAAGGGCCAUCGCUCAACGGAUAAAAGGUACUCCGGGGAUAACAGGCUGAUACCGCCCAAGAGUUCAUAUCGACGGCGGUGUUUGGCACCUCGAUGUCGGCUCAUCACAUCCUGGGGCUGAAGUAGGUCCCAAGGGUAUGGCUGUUCGCCAUUUAAAGUGGUACGCGAGCUGGGUUUAGAACGUCGUGAGACAGUUCGGUCCCUAUCUGCCGUGGGCGCUGGAGAACUGAGGGGGGCUGCUCCUAGUACGAGAGGACCGGAGUGGACGCAUCACUGGUGUUCGGGUUGUCAUGCCAAUGGCACUGCCCGGUAGCUAAAUGCGGAAGAGAUAAGUGCUGAAAGCAUCUAAGCACGAAACUUGCCCCGAGAUGAGUUCUCCCUGACUCCUUGAGGGUCCUGA
rnacentral:rRNA from 1 species